CUCCAGCCUACAAAAUUCACGAAUAUUAACGAGAUAUGUGUGAUUAAAGGCGGUAAACUAUAAAUAGACAACUCGAGUUGCUUUAAAAGUUUGUGUCAAAGAUGAUUGAUUCAUUCGAAGGUUAUUUAUUUUUAUAAAUUAUAUUUAUAACCAAAUCGAAGAGUAACAAGGUAUCAUUUGCAGGUGUGAUAGAUAAUUUUUCUAAGUAUAUGAAAAUGAUGUAUACCAUAACAUAAAUUACCAAGAGAAAUUUGUCCGAUAGCAAGGGGACAAAUUGCAAUCCCAAUUCGCAGCUUCUGUAAUUACCGGCUGAUACCUGGUUCCGUGUCUCCGGCUCGUUGGCCGCGAUCAAAAGCUAAUUUCUUACUCGGCGUAAUAACACGCUCCCAACGCUUGUGUACACACAUAGCCGGCCACUUUUCUGCAACUAUUACCGCAAUUAGCCCGCCUCGACCUGCCCGAUAGCUUCAACUGUUGCACGCGAGAGAAUUCGCGACGAGUCGACGCGAUUCGUUACGCGUACCUGUCGAUUAAUUAACCGUUCAACCGCGAGUCACUCUUGCUCUAUUUCUAUUCAAACUUUCCAUUAACUUGAUUACUACUUUAUCGAUUAGGGGUCUUUAAAUUGGUAUUUCUUGAGUUGCGGAGGAAAAAUUAAUCCAAUGUGAUCUUAGACACAAACCUUCCCAUUAAUUCUUCGAAAUUUUUCAAUUAAAAAUCGCUUCCCGAUACCUGGCACAACCUGAGAAUUACACUUCGUCGAACGUAUGAGGAAAUGAACAGAAGGAUUCGAGGGGGGGAUUCCUCGCGAGUGAACGAGGAAAAUUGAAGGGAAUCGUUUUAGAAGAACUAACUAUGGAGAACGUCGUUUUUGUAGUUCAACGAAAUUGAAUUUGGAGCAGACAAUAUUGCAAUACUCACCAUUUUGCCGGACCAUGAACAAUGGAAGAUUCGAGUGACGUCUGGAUGGAAAAAAAAAGGAGAAAGAAUCGAAAGUAGGAUGAACCGUGAACGGUCUUGAUUCCUUGGUCGUCAUAGCUGAGUGCAGCUUCGGAGUUCUCUGCGCUCUUCACUUCUUUCUUCCUUCAUUCUCCUCUAUCCGGCACCCUAUUUUCCUAUAGCCCCUCUAAUGGCUCUCGAGGUCCCUGUCUUAUCGGUGACACUCGUCCCACCUGCUUCUGGAUCUUUUCUCAAUGCUUCCAAUGUUCUCGCGGUGACACGGGAACACGAUUGGGGAAAUCGGUGAAAGAAGAACACGAGAAGAAGGGCAUAAGAGCCGAACGUUACGGGCGGGCCUGACUCUUUGCUCUGCCCGUAUCUGGUCGUUUGGGUGAGCAAAGUUUCAGGACUCUGCCAUAUCGAGGGUGACGUCUUAUGAUGACAUUCGAUCUAUAGGCUUGACGUCUUAUGACGACAUCUGUGCUGAGAGUGUUAGGUAAAGUUUUUCUUUAAUUUCAAAAAGACAUGUAGCAUUAAGUGAUAAAAGAAUUCCUUAUUUCAAAAAUUUAUUUACAGGUCAUGCAUGGUCUAAAAUUCUACUAUACUUUUUUUUUCUUAUAACAAAGAAAGGAAUUUAUUAGUGCUUGUAAUGAAUAUGUUAAAUAUAAUGGAAAUUAAAUGUCUGCAGGAAACGGGAAUAAAUAUUUAGGUUGUAACGAAGCAUCCUCGACAGUACUCUUACGCCUGAAAUUUGCUUUUUACCUGGCCCUCGUGCUCUCUUACUUUGAGAAAACAAAGGUGAGCAAAGUUUCAGGUGUGUGAGUGCGUUGGAAUCAGCAGUGAAUCGUGAUAAUGGAAGAACCGUAUGCUGUAUCAUCUUGAAAAAUAAAGUAUUAUUAAACUAUUGUCCUCAAUAUAAUAAAUAAAAUUAUUUUGUGUCAACUAAUGGAUAAAAAAUAUUAACCCAAAGUUGAAGAUUCAAUAGAAACUACUACAUAAUGAAUCAACUGAUUUUUAGUUUAAUACUGUCCAUUAGCGAAUAUCCAAUAUUCAGUCGCCUAUAUCGAUAAUUCUAAAUAUAAUAAUGUAAAUAAAAAUCUUAAAAAA